ACACUCUAUUAAGCGGCCAGGAGGAGAUGGGGCAGGGGGCACCUAGCAGGGACUUAGAGACCGUCGCUAAGGAACUGGCGGCAGAGAGGAGAGCAGGGAAGAGGCGGAGACCAGGACUCUGCAGGACGACUGAUGAGGACAGCUGGCGAUGAGGCCCCCAUCUGAUUCUGGAGUCAGUGUCUGGCUGAAAGCUGGGCAUACAGGACUAUUCAAGACGGAGUUUCACCAUGUUGACCUCAGGUGAUCCACCUACCUGGGCCUCCUAAACUGCCGGGAUUACAGGCGUGAGCCACCGCGCCCAGCUCUUCAAGUUUCUGCUACCAAGAUGCCUUCACUGAAUAAGGAGCUGGGUGUACAAUGGGCACUCGUGACCUGGCAUGAGCGGAUGCCAGCAUGCCACUGUCCACGGGCAUCUAAGUGGGGAUAUUCAGUCAGCCAUUGGAUGUACACCAAGUCGGCACACGGGGAAGAGACAUCUGGGCUGGAGACAGUAAUGGAUGAAGUCACCAAUGAAUAACAUGGAGAGUGAGCAGAGGAGGCCAAAGUCAGUAUUCUGGGAAAAACAAUGUUUGCAGAGUGCCCUGAGGAGGAGGAGAUGCUAAGAAGCCAGAAGAGGUAGAGGAAGGAGGCCCUGUGACCCAUCAGAGCCACAUCCGCCACUUGCUCUCGAGGGUCCUGCCUGCUCAGAUAAGUUGGCUACUCAUUGGUCAUCACCUGGCAACUCUGUCCUUCCUUGCAUCUGGCCAACUUCUUUUUCCUCUCUCUUUCCUCCUGCCCUCCUCAUUACCAUCUAAAUUAGCUCCAGUAGCUCUCAUCAAAACUCAAAUAACGGCCAGGCGCGGCGGCUCAUGCCUCUAAUCCAAGCACUUUGGGAGGCUGAGGCGACUGGAUCACCUGAGGUCCGGAGUUUGAGACCAGCCUGGCCAACAUGGUGAAACCCUGUCUCUACUAAAAAUAUCAAAAUGAGUUGGGCGUGGUGGCACAUGCCUGUAAUCCCAGCUACUUGGGAGGCUGAGGCAGGAGAAUUGCUUGAACCUGGGAAGUGAAAGUUGCAGUGAACCGAGAUCGCAGCACCACUGCACUCCAGCCUGAGUGACAGAGCAAGACUCUGUUUCAAAAGGAAAAAAAAAAAAAUAUAUAUAUAUAUAUAUGUAAUUUUUCUGUAGAGACAGGGUUUCUACAAUUUUUUUUGUAGAGAUGAGAUCUUGCUGUGUUGUGCAAGCUGGCCUCAAGCGAUCCUCCUGCCUCAGCCUCCCAAAAACGUUGGGAUGACAGGCAUGAGCCACCGCGCCCGGCCUAAAAAACCCCGACUAUCUUGAUUCCACUUCCUCUUCUCACUGCUGCACCAGCUUUGUACAUGGUCCCCGGCCAAGCUGAGAUACCCAAAGUCUGGUCCACGUUGUUUUUCUCCACUGCAUCAUUUCUCACUCACCCAUUGCAAAUGCCGUAGGCAGAGCUACAGUGGCUUCUACCCAAUCCACUGCACACUUCUCAGGGCAGGCUUGCUUCAUGUCUCUGCAGCCUUCAGCACAGUUUCCCAUUCCUUUUUUGGAACACUCUUUUCUUUUGGGUUCCAGAAGUCCGCAUCCUCCUGAUUUUCUUCUUAGUUCGCCGGCUUCUCCUUUGGCAACUUGUUCUCCACCUGACCUCUAAAUGUCGGAGUUCCUCAGAGCUUGGUCUUAGGCCAUCUUGUCUUUUCCCUGCACCUCUUUAUGACGUCAUCUGCUAGAAUGUGCCACUCACUCUUGGGGCUCUAUUCCAACCCAGAUUUCUCUGCUGAAUUCCAGGACUGUGUCUACAGCCACCUAUUAAACAUUUCUCCUGGAUUUCUCAAAGAACUAAAAAUAGAACUACAGUUUGACCCAGCAAUCUCAUUACUGGGUAUUUACCCAAAAGAAAAAAAAUCCUUCUACCAGAAAGAAAUAUGCACUCGUAUGUUCCUUGCAGCACUAUUCACAAGAGCAAAGACAUGAACUCAGCUUAGGUGCCCAUCAAUGGUGGACUGGAUAAAGAAAAUGGUACAUGUAUGUUAUGGAAUACUAUGCAGCCAUAAAAAGAAACAAAAUGAAGAAACAAAGAAACAUGUUUUUUGCAGCAACAUGGAUGCAGCUGGAGUCCAUUCUCUUAAGUGAAUUUAGAGCAGGAACAGAAAACCAAAUACCAUAUGUUCUCACUUGUAAACAGGAGCUAAACAUUGGGUACUCAUGGACAUAAAGACGGCAUCAAUAGACACUGGGGACCACUAGGGGGAAGAAGGAAGAAGAUGGGGCAAGGGUUGAAAACUAUUAAUACCUAAUGGGGCCAGGCAUGGUGGCUCACGCCUGUAAUCCCAGCACUUUGGGAGGCCAAGGCAGGUAGAUCACUUGAGGCCAGGAGUUCAAGACCAGCCUGGCUAUCAUGGCGAAACCCCAUCUCUACUUAAAAUACAAAAAUUAGCCAGGUGUGGUGGUGCACACCUGUAAUCCUAGCUACUUGGGAGGCUGAGGCAGACGAACCACUUGAACCCAGGAGGCGGAGGUUGCAGUGAGCUGAGAUCGUGCCAUUGCACUCCAGCCUGGGCAACAGAGCAAGACCCUGUCUCAAAGAAAAAAAGAAAAAGAAAAACUACCUAUUGGGUACCGUGCUCAUUACAUGGGUGAUGGGAUCAAUCGUAUUCCAAACCUCAGUGUCACACAAUUUACCCAUAUAACAAACCUGCACACGUACCCCGUGAAUCUAAAAUAAAAGUUAAAAAAAACAAAAAAAGAGGCCGGGCACAGUGGCUCACGCCUGUAAUCCCAGCACUUUGGGAGGCUGAGGCAGGUGGAUCACGAGGUAAGGAGAUCGAGACCAUCCUUGCUAACACGGUGAAACCCCGUCUCUACUAAAAAUACAAAAAAUUAGCCGGGCCUGGUGGCACGUAUCUGUAGUCGCAGCUACUCAGGAGGCUGAGGCAGGAAAAUCACUUGAACCCAGGAGGCAGAGGUUGCAGUGGGCCGAGAUUGCGCCACUGCACUACAGCCUGGGCGACAGAGCGAGAUCCGGCUGAGUGCGGUGGCUCACACCGGUAAUCCCAGCACUUUGGGAGGCUGAGGCUGGCGGAUCGCUUGAGGCCAGGAGUUCGAGACCAGCCUGGGCAACAUGACAAAACCCUGUCUCUACAAAAAAAAAUACAAAAAAUUAGCCAGGCAUGGUGGUGUGCACCAGUAGUUCCAUCUACUGGGGAGGCUGAGGUGAGAGGAUCAUCUCAGCCCAGGAGGUCGAGGCUGCAGCAAGCUGUGAUUGCGCCACUGCACUCCAGUCUUGGUGACAGAGUGAGACCCUGUCUCAAAAAAAACAAAACCAAAAACACCAAAAAAAAUUUUCUCCAUAGGCACUUCAAACCUAAAACUUCCCAAUCUUAAACUCUUGAUCUUCCUCCCAGAAUAUGUUCCAUCUCAAAUGUUCUGCUCGAAGUAAACAAUACCUCCAGGCCAAGCACUGUUAUUUUUUCAUUUUUGUUUGUUUGUUUUGUUUUGUUUUGUUUUGAGACAGGGCCUGGCUCUGUCACCCAGGCUGGAGUGCGGUGGCAGAAAUUCAGCUCACCACAACCUUUGCCUCAGGAGUUCAAGUCAUCUUCCCACCUCAGCCUUCCGAGUAGCUGGGACUACAGGCGCACGCCACCAUGUAUUUCUUUCUUUCUCUCUCUUUUUUUUUUAACGACGUAGUCUUGCUAUGUUGCCCAGGCUGGUCUUGAACUCCUGGACUCAAGUGAUCCGCCCACCUCUGCCUCCCAAAAUGCUGGGAUUACAGGUGUGAGCCACCACGCCUGACCCUAAUCCAUAUUUCAAUGCCCAUCUGCCUCCUCUAUAGAUUGCAAGCUCCAUGAGGAGGGUGCACCUGUCAUUCAAGGUUGCAUCCUCAUUGCCUAGGGCAGUGCCUGAUACAUCAUCCGGUUCAGUAAAUAUCAACGGAAUGAGUUAAAACAGGAAAGCUUAUUAGCACAGAAACCAAAGCAGCACACAUGCCCUCUUGAGAUUGACAAAAUUGUGCUGUAGUCCUGCGCUGCUUGUUGUUAAGUGACUUUAGGGAAGUCAUCGUGGCCAUCUACAGAUUGAGGAAAUCAACGUAAUUAUCUCUGAGGUCCCUCCCAAAUUCUCAUGUGUAGUUGACAUCUGUUAUCUAUUGCUUAUAUGUCACUGAAUUGGCAGGUAUGCAUAAAUAGAAUUUGCAUCUAACUACGAAUACGAUUGUUUAUAUUUUCUUUAAAAAAAUAUUGGGCUUUUGUUUCUCAUAUUGAGAGCUCUGUUAUGCCAUUUUCGAAUUUCUCCCAGAUGUCCCCCCCGGCCCACCUUCAAACUCUGCUUCCUUAGACAGAUUUGGCAAUAGCUUUGUAAGUGAUAUGGACAUAAUUGCCUAAAAUAAUGAAAACCUACAGGAUUCUUUUUUCAUUUUCCCUUUGGCAUGUUUACAAUUCCCUGCCCCACCAGGCAGAUCAUUCUGUGUGUGUGAGUGUGUGUACCCAUUACAAAGACAACUACUAUGUUCAUAACAUAUUCGAUUUGGAAAAAACAAUUGUAGGCUGGGCACGGUGGCUGACAUCUGUAAUCCCAGCACUUUGGGAGGCCGAGGCGGGCAGAUCACGAGGUCAGGAGUUCAAGACCAACCUGGCCAACAUGAAACCCCAUCUCUGCUAAAAAUGCAAAAAUUAGCCAGGCCUGGUGGCAUGCUCCUAUAAUCCCAGCUACUCGGGAGGCUGAGACAGGAGAAUCGCUUGAACCCAAGAGGCAGAGGUUGCAGUAAGCCGAGAUUGUGCCAUUGCACUCCAGCUCUGGGUGACAGAGCAAGACUCCAUUUCAGAAAAAAAAAAAAAAGAAAAAAGAAAAAACAAUUGUUUUUGAAAAGUGAUUUGUAAUGUCUUUCACAGAGACUAAAUGAAGAGUAUGUUUUGAUACUUUUUAAAAUAUAAUUUCAUCUUUUUAGAUUCUGACUCAUGUGCACAUGAAUGUACCCAUGUACAUGGGUAUAUCUUGUGAUGCUGAAGUUUGGGGUACAAUUGAUCCCGUCACCUGGGGUACAGUACCCAAUAGGUAGUUUUUCAACCCUUCCCCCCUCUAGUAAUCCCCCGUGUCUAUUGUUCCCAUCUUUAUGUUCAUGAGUACCCAGUGUUUAGCUCCUACUUAUAAGUGAGAACAUGCAGUGUUUGGUUUUCUGUUCCUGCAGAAAUUUAUCCACUUAGGAUAAAAGCCUCUAGCUGCAUCCAUGUUACUGCAAAGGACACGAUUUCUUCUUCUUUUCUUUUCUUUUGUUUCUUCUUUCUUUCUUUCCCUUCCUUCCUUCUCUCUUUUCUUUCUCUUUCUCUCUCUCUCUCUUUUCUGCAUCCAUGUUGCUGCAAAGGACAUGAUUUCUUCUUUUUUCUCUCUUCCUUUCUCUUUCCUUUCUUUUUUUCUUUCCUUCCCUUCCUUCCCUCCUUUUCUUUCUUUUACUUUUUCUUCUUUUGUCUUUCUUUCUUCUUCUUGAGUCAAAGUCUUGCUCUGUUGCCCAGGCCGGAGUGCAGUGAGUGGUGUGAUUUUGGCUCACUGCAACCUCCGCCUCCCGGGUUCAAGCAAUUCUCCUGCCUCAGCCUCCUGAGUAGCUGGGAUUACAGGUGUGUGCCACCACGCCCAGCUAAUGUUUGUAUUUUUAGCAGAGACGGGGUUUCACCAUAUUGGCCAGGCUUGUCUCAAACUCCUGACCUCAAGUGAUCCACCCGCCUCGGCCUCUCACAGUGCUAGGAUUACAGGCGUGAGCCCCAUCUCGUUCUUUCUUAUGGCUGCGUGUUUUGAUACUUUCAAAUUACAAGGACUCAGUGAAGGCUAUUCGUUGCCUUGAACUUCCCAAAGCAUUUCCACAAUCGAUGGGGUUCUCAGUAAGAAUCCGGGACUUGGAGGGCAGAUGCUGUCAACAUCCCCAUUUAACAGAUGUGGAAACUGAGGCCUAGACCUACGUUCUUGUCCCUUUACAGGCAAGGUCCCUGGAGGAAGGGGUUCAUCUAGAGGCUCAUACAGAUAAACUGGAAUGUACAGUAAAGUUUUGGCUGCCUGGGUUCAUAUCUAAACUCUGCAGCCUCAGGUCUCUUUCCACUAUUAGAAAAUGGGGAGAAGGCUGGGCGCGGUGGCUCACGCCUGUAAUCCCAGCACUUUGGGAGGCCGAGACGGGCACAUCACCUGAGGUCAGGAGUUUGAGACCAGCCUGGCCGACAUGGUGAAACCUCGUCUCUACU
rnacentral:lncRNA from 1 species